rnacentral:tRNA from 1 species
GGGCGAUUAGCUCAGUGGUAGAGCGGCUCGUUUACACCGAGUAGGCCGUAGGUUCAAUCCCUACAUCGCCCA